rnacentral:rRNA from 1 species
GACGAACGCUGGCGGCGUGCUUAACACAUGCAAGUCGAACGAAGUGGCGAACGGGUGAGUAACGCGUAAUCAACCUGCCCUUCUGCGGGGGACAACAGUUGGAAACGACUGCUAAUACCGCAUACUGAAGGAGUGGAUUGCGUCUGAUUAGCUAGUUGGAGGGGUAACGGCCCACCAAGGCGAUGAUCAGUAGCCGGUCUGGGAGGAUGAAAGGGAAAAUAGGGACUGAGAAACGGCCCAGAAUGAGACGGGAGGGAGAAGGGGGGAAACUGCCGAAAUGGAGGAAAGUCUGACGGAGCAACGCCGCGGGAGUGAUGAGGGGAUUCGGGUUGGAAAGAUCUGUUAAUCGGGACGCGGUACCGGAAUAGAAAGCCACGGCUAACUACGUGCCAGCAGCCGCGGUAAUAC